rnacentral:rRNA from 1 species
UACGUAGGGGGCUAGCGUUGUCCGGAUUUAUUGGGCGUAAAGAGCGUGUAGGCGGCCAGGUAGGUCUGCUGUGAAAACUCGAGGCUCAACCUCGAGACGUCGGCGGAAACCAUCUGGCUAGAGUCCGGAAGAGGAGAGUGGAAUUCCUGGUGUAGCGGUGAAAUGCGUAGAUAUCGGGAGGAACACCUGAGGCGAAGGCGGGCUACUGGGCCGAUACUGACGCUGAUGCGCGAAAGCCAGGGGAGCGAACGGG